UACGUAGGGUGCAAGCGUUGUCCGGAUUCAUUGGGCGUAAAGCGCGCGUAGGCGGUUCGGUAAGUCGGGUGUGAAAACACGAGGCUCAACCUCGUGCGUGCAUCCGAUACUGCCGGACUAGAGGUAGGUAGGGGAGAUCGGAAUUCCUGGUGUAGCGGUGAAAUGCGCAGAUAUCAGGAGGAACACCGAUGGCGAAGGCAGGUCUCUGGGCCACUACUGACGCUGAGAAGCGAAAGCAUGGGGAGCGAACAGG
rnacentral:rRNA from 1 species